GUCUCUGAGGCGCAAUUGCUUAGCGCGUUCGGCUGUUAACUGAAAGGUUGUUGGUUCGAGCCCACCCAGGGACG
rfam:Apaloderma vittatum contig38634, whole genome shotgun sequence.